rnacentral:sRNA from 1 species
UAUAAAUAUAUUAUUUGAUAUAUUUAUAAGAUUGGCGGUGGUGGUUCUUGCCGGCCCUGUCUACCAUCUGAGAUGACGAAAUAAGGAAGUAGAACUAAAAAGCAGGUCAAUAAUAAACUUGCUUUUUUUU